ACCCGCACAAGCGGUGAUGAUGUGGUUUAAUUCGAUGCAACGCGAAAAACCUUACCCACCUUUGACAUGUACGGAAUCCUUUAGAGAUAGAGGAGUGCUCGAAAGAGAACCGUAACACAGGUGCUGCAUGGCUGUCGUCAGCUCGUGUCGUGAGAUGUUGGGUUAAGUCCCGCAACGAGCGCAACCCUUGUCAUUAGUUGCUACAUUCAGUUGGGCACUCUAAUGAGACUGCCGGUGACAAACCGGAGGAAGGUGGGGAUGACGUCAAGUCCUCAUGGCCCUUAUAGGUGGGGCUACACACGUCAUACAAUGGAUGGUACAAAGGGUCGCCAACCCGCGAGGGGGAGCCAAUCCCAUAAAACCGAUCGUAGUCCGGAUCGCAGUCUGCAACUCGACUGCGUGAAGUCGGAAUCGCUAGUAAUCGUGAAUCAGAAUGUCACGGUGAAUACGUUCCCGGGCCUU
rnacentral:rRNA from 1 species